GUGAAUCAUCAAAUUUUUGAGCGCAAAUUGCACUCUCCUCGGAGAGUAUGCCUGUUUGAGGGUCAGCCUAUAAAAAAUCGACAUCGUUGAUGUUUUGUGGUGGUGUUUGUCGGAAAUUGGGCUAUCUUAAAUCCUUUUGAUUUAAGCGACUUAAAAUUUUUUUUUGGUUCCAUGAACGUUUUUAAGAUCUAUUUCUUUACACGAUUAAGGUAUCGAUUUUUACUAGACGUGACUAUCAUAUUGGAUCGCGUACUUAAUUUUUCAUAAA
rnacentral:misc_RNA from 1 species